rnacentral:tRNA from 1 species
GGACAGGUAGCUCAGUUGGUAGAGCAACGGCCUGAAAAGCCGUGUGUCGCCAGUUCAAUUCUGGCCCUGUCCACAA